UACGUAGGGGGCAAGCGUUGUUCGGAAUUACUGGGCGUAAAGGGCUCGUAGGCGGCCAACUAAGUCGGACGUGAAAUCCCCAGGCUCAACCUGGGAACUGCGUCCGAUACUGGAUGGCUUGAAUCCGGGAGAGGGAUGCAGAAUUCCAGGUGUAGCGGUGAAAUGCGUAGAUAUCUGGAGGAACACCGGUGGCGAAGGCGGCAUCCUGGACCGACACUGACGCUGAGGAGCGAAAGCCAGGGGAGCAAACGGG
rnacentral:rRNA from 1 species